AGCCAUGUAGUAAGCACAGAGCGAACUAUUCUUUCGCCUUUUACUAAAGAAUAUCAUGUGCUUGCUACUGAUAAGUGGCAUACGCUUAUUUUUGGAGGGUUGAUCUCAUCCGAGCC
rnacentral:snRNA from 1 species